UACGGGGGGGGCAAGCGUUGUUCGGAAUUACUGGGCGUAAAGCGCGUGUAGGCGGCCAGAAAAGUCCGCUGUGAAAACUCGAGGCUCAACUUCGAGCUGUCGGUGGAAACUUUCUGGCUAGAGUCCGGAAGAGGAGAAUGGAAUUCCUGGUGUAGCGGUGAAAUGCGCAGAUAUCAGGAAGAACACCCGUGGCGAAGGCGGUUCUCUGGGACGGUACUGACGCUGAGACGCGAAAGCGUGGGGAGCGAACAGG
rnacentral:rRNA from 1 species